rnacentral:lncRNA from 1 species
GAGAAGCUGGAGUCGAGGAAGUCGCGGUCACCGCCGGGACCUGCAAAGAAAGUCUAAAUCGGAGGUGGGGUUGCUCCGGCAAGACCCUCCGACGCUCAAGUCAGUUCUCUGCCUCAACAAGAAUGGAGUGCUCGAACGGAGAAUUUAGCAGAGUUUUUAGAUAAAAAAGAUGAGAGCUUAGAGAAUAACGUAUCUGGGGUCCCCCUUUUUAUAGGCGGAGGGUGCCACAGACUGAUAGCGAUGUUCGUAACCGUCUGGUAGUGGGCCGUCCAUAGUCAGGAGAAAUUUAUUGCGAAGGGUAGUGGAGCAGAAUCGUGGCUAUCGCCGUAGCUCGCCAUGUGGAAUCAGUUGCG